GAGUAUGAAGUUUGACCGUGUAAGAGAAUGGCACGAGGAAGUUUGUUGUCGUUGUCACUUCGUCAAACACCGAAGUUAGGGAAGCAGCUACGGCUCUAUUUGUCAAUUAUGAUAUCAACGAAUCGCGCUUUUAUUUGAGUAAACAAAAGUCUACCAAAAGCUGUGUUUGAAGUUUAAACGAAGGACAAAGUGUGACGAAAGACACACUUAGAAGACACAAAGACACACCGGUUCCAGCGUAAAUCUCUUCGAUGAAGUGAAUUUUAACUAAUUCAAGAAAAUGAAGUGACAGAAGAAAAA